ACCAACACGCUUUCACUACCUAAGAGUGUUCUGUGUCUGCUGUAAUUGAAAGUGUCAUCCCACACUAGAUGUUUAAAUAAAUUGGUUCUGAGGGGGGCCCCCAUCAGGGCUGAAACGUUAACACUAU
rnacentral:lncRNA from 1 species